UACGAAGGGGACUAGCGUUGUUCGGAAUCACUGGGCGUAAAGCGCACGUAGGCGGAUUUGUAAGUCAGAUGUGAAAGCCCCGGGCUCAACCUGGGAACUGCAUUUGAGACUGAAGGACUAGAGUUCGGGAGAGGAUGGUGGAAUUCCCAGUGUAGAGGUGAAAUUCGUAGAUAUUGGGAAGAACACCGGUGGCGAAGGCGGCCAUCUGACCGAUACUGACGCUGAGGCGCGAAAGCGUGGGGAGCAAACAGGG
rnacentral:rRNA from 1 species